AUUGAACGCUGGCGGCAGGCCUAACACAUGCAAGUCGAGCGGAUGAAGGGAGCUUGCUCCUGGAUUCAGCGGCGGACGGGUGAGUAAUGCCUAGGAAUCUGCCUGUUAGUGGGGGAUAACGUCCGGAAACGGGCGCUAAUACCGCAUAAGUCCUGAGGGAGAAAGUGGGGGAUCUUCGGACCUCACGCUAUCAGAUGAGCCUAGGUCGGAUUAGCUAGUUGGUGGGGUAAAGGCCUACCAAGGCGACGAUCCGUAACUGGUCUGAGAGGAUGAUCAGUCACACUGGAACUGAGACACGGUCCAGACUCCUACGGGAGGCAGCAGUGGGGAAUAUUGGACAAUGGGCGAAAGCCUGAUCCAGCCAUGCCGCGUGUGUGAAGAAGGUCUUCGGAUUGUAAAGCACUUUAAGUUGGGAGGAAGGGCAGUAAGUUAAUACCUUGCUGUUUUGACGUUACCAAAAGAAUAAGCACCGGCUAACUUCGUG
rnacentral:rRNA from 1 species